CUUUUUAGAGGUGUUCAUAAGGAUAAGGUGAGUGCGCGUGUAAGCAUUCAUAAGAUGAGCGUACAUGUGUUUUGUGCGUGUCUGUAUUUGUAUAUCUUUACCAAUUAUAAAAGUUUAAGAUGUUUUUGCCACAAAUUUUCAUACGUCGUCCCUGCUGUAUCCGUAUUAGUUCAUCGCGUAGGCUGGCCAAUGCACAAAAGAAUCAGAGAUGGAUUCAAAAUCCUAAUCGCGUACGGCGGGCAAAUCACAAAAUCAAAGAUAGAUUAAAAGCCCAAUCAAGCAAUCAUCCCUUUCAAAUACAAGAACUACACCGACCAAUAAUCCCAGAAAAAGAAAAGGAAUAAAAUUCGCACAAAUCCAUUACUCAUCAAGCAAUUUCACUUUCACUUCAAGAACACAACAUGAACACAAAAGAUGAACAAAAGAACACACAUGAACACAAGAGUUUUGCUUCCGCUCCCGUUCGCCGCCGCCGGGCCGUCGCCUUCCCUCCACCACCGCCCGCCGCCCCCCGGGGCCGUCGCCUUCCCUCUACCACCGCCCGCCGCCCCCGCCUCCCCUCCUGCCGGGCCGCCACUCCCGGCUAGAUCUGGCGGAGGGGAGGCGCCGCCGCCGCCCCCGCCUCCCCUCCUGCGGAGGGAGCCGCCGCCGGGAUGUCGCCUUCCCUCCCGCCGCCGCCACCACCGCCUCCACCGCCAGGCCGCCGCCGACGCGUGAGAAAGGCGAGGGGAGGGUGCGAGAGAGCCGAGGGGAGAAGAAGAGAAGAAAGAGAGGAGACGACGAGCCCCUGCCUGCGCUGUCGCUAGGGUUGCGCUCGCCUAGCGGUGGAGGAGAAGGAGGGAGCGCCGAGAGAAGGGGAGCAGCGGUGGAGAUGGAGAGCGAGAAGAGAAGGAAGAGAUAAGGAGAGAGAGAGCGGACACGUGUGGCUCUUAUCCAUCCAUA
rnacentral:lncRNA from 1 species